GUAGACAUAUAAAGGGCCCCCUUACCUUUAAUAGUUUAGGGCCUCUUCAAACCUAAAUCCGGCCCUGAGCAGGAUGUGUGGGGAUUUUCUGUGUGAAGGGGCCAUCAGUGCCAGAGCAAUUAGGUUUUUUUGUGGGGGUCAAUGUGGGGUGUAUGGGGUUGCAGUGUGUGGCAUGGCGCUUAGGGGCUUGCAGUGCAGGAUACAUGCAUAGUUGCCCCAAUCUGAACUUUUUAGUUUAUUACUCUAGAUAGCACAUCUGUGCAGUUGACAUGGUUCACUGAGGGGCAUAUUUUAUAUUAAAAGCAAUCUCAAACAGCAGAGGAAUAUUUGAGGUCACUGGGAGAGUCAAAAUGGCUUCAGGAUUGCUCUCCUGUAC